GCAGGUGCGAAAGCAGGUCAUAGUGAUCCGGUGGUUCUGAAUGGAAGGGCCAUCGCUCAACGGAUAAAAGGUACUCCGGGGAUAACAGGCUGAUACCGCCCAAGAGUUCAUAUCGACGGCGGUGUUUGGCACCUCGAUGUCGGCUCAUCACAUCCUGGGGCUGAAGUAGGUCCCAAGGGUAUGGCUGUUCGCCAUUUAAAGUGGUACGCGAGCUGGGUUUAGAACGUCGUGAGACAGUUCGGUCCCUAUCUGCCGUGGGCGCUGGAGAACUGAGGGGGGCUGCUCCUAGUACGAGAGGACCGGAGUGGACGCAUCACUGGUGUUCGGGUUGUCAUGCCAAUGGCACUGCCCGGUAGCUAAAUGCGGAAGAGAUAAGUGCUGAAAGCAUCUAAGCACGAAACUUGCCCCGAGAUGAGUUCUCCCUGACUCCUUGAGAGUCCUGAAGGAACGUUGAAGACGACGACGUUGAUAGGCCGGGUGUGUAAGCGCAGCGAUGCGUUGAGCUAACCGGUACUAAUGAACCGUGAGGCUUAACCUUACAACGCCGAAG
rnacentral:rRNA from 1 species